UUAUUUGUAUGGUCAUAUUGAAGGGGAAGGAGGCAGCUGGGGAAGAACCAGCAGCACACUGAUAACCCAUACACAUCAAUGACUUCGCAUCUGGUCAAGUUUCAACAUGAACCAGCAACAUCAACACUUAAAGCAUCGAUUCUAACUCACUACCUGAUUCGUUCUUCACAUUCGAAGAGCAAUUAAACUCCAAAUGGUACUGCGAGCAGAACCACACAUGGACACGCCAUUCUUCCAAGAAUCCUUAGAUCAACCUCAGGAGAAGGCCCAACUGCUGCUCCCCCGCACGCUCCUUUUCAGCAGGAAGUGGCCACAAAGAAUCAUCGUCCAACACCCCCUAACAGCAGUUAGGUUUGCUUCUCUUGAGGGGGGAAAUAAUACAGGUGUUACUUAAAAAAAUUUUUUAGGCAGAUAGGGAGGGUAAAAGGAGUUCUUGGUAAGGCUUUUUCUGUUAAUAAAAGCAAACCCCGAACCAUUUCUUUUCUAACAGAAAAACCGCUUGAAGGGCCAGGCCAGGAAGCUUUGAUAUGCAAAUGCAGCCCUUUAGAAAUGGUCCACCCAAUAUGGUGACUCCUGCCUUCUUCUUGUCACCAUGUGUGCCAAGUGUCAUGGCCACCUCCAGAUAAUACCAUGUGUUCAGAACAUCAUGGCGAUUCGUAUUUGCAUAUUAAAGAGCUAAGGUGGGAAAUUUCGCCAGGUUUUUCACAGGCAAUGUAAAUAACAUACCUGGUCAAACCAAUCCCCUGGGCCCUAUGCAAACAAGACACCACCUCCUCCAGCAUCCCAGUAUAAGCAACCACUUUCCUGCCACACACGGGGUUUCUCGUCGUUCGAAUCCCCCCUCCCUCUGUCUCUGUACCGGGGAGCUGUUUUCUUCCUUGCUUCUUUCUUGCCUAAUAAACUCUCCGCUCCUUAAAACUACUCCACACGUGUCUGUGUCAUUUUAUCUAAACUGGCGCAAGACCAAGGACCCUGGUGUUCCUCCAGUCAUUGGAGCCAUGUCAUUUACACCUCUCCUGGUCCUAUUCUUGUCUCACUCUCCUAUGCCUUCC
rnacentral:lncRNA from 1 species